rnacentral:lncRNA from 1 species
AUUAGAAGAAUAUGUUAGAAAAGGUCUAUCAUAGAGAGGACAACACUUUUAAUGUCAUAAUUCUUCAAUUAUAAAUUGUUGUAUGAAGAAAUAAGAGUUGCUUUGAACAACCCUUAGUCAAUACAAACACUUAGUGCUUAUUUCUUUAUUAAUUGAACAAAGAACUUGAGAAGUAAGUACAAGGGCAUGGACACUUUAUGUGCCAUGAUUCUUCACUUACAAAUUGUUGUAUGAAGAAAUGAGAGUUGCCUUGUACAACUCUUGAAAGUUUGUAAUUAUGUUUAGAACAUAAUGGUUGGUUGACAAAAAUAGUCCAUUAACAUGGACUUAUGAUGAUUUUGAAUCAUUAAGUGUUGAAGUGUUAAACCACUUAACGAGACGGAAACUAGGCAAGGACUUCACCUUUGUUUCCCUAUCCUAAUGGUUCACUAAGUUUAUGGUAAACUAUGUAAUGAACAAUAACCACAUACUCUCCAAAUUGUUUGAUGUGUAUAACACAAUUGAAAAAGGUUUCAAGAGAGAUAG